GGACGAUUGGCGCAGUGGUAGCGCACUUCCUUGACAUGGAAGGGGUCACUGGUUCGAACCCAGUAUCGUCCACCA
rnacentral:tRNA from 3 species